rnacentral:rRNA from 1 species
UUCCGGUUGAUCCUGCCGGAGGCUACCGCUAUUGGAGUUCGAUUAAGCCAUGCGAGUCGCGAGAAAUUAGAUUCUCGGCGUACCGCUCAGUAACACGUGGGUAACCUGCCCUAUGCUGGAUAAUAACCUCGGGAAACUGAGAAUAAUGAUCCAUAGUUCACUACGCCUGGAACGGUGAGUGGAUGAAAGCCCCGGCGGCAUAGGAUGGGCCUGCGGCGUAUCAGGUUGUAGGGGGUGUAACGUACCCUCUAGCCCUCUACGCGUACGGGUGUUGGGAGACAUAGCCCGGAGAUGGAUUCUGAGACACGAAUCCAGACCCUACGGGGUGCAGCAGGCGCGAAAACGUGGCAAUGCGAGAAAUCGUGACCAGGGAACUCCAAGUGCAUCGGGUAAGACCGGUGCUUUUCUUGACUCUAAAUAGGUCUUGGAAUAAGGGGUGGGUAAGGACGGUGCCAGCCGCCGCGGUAAUACCGGCGCCUCAAGUGGUAGUCGCUUUUAUUGGGCCUAAAACGUCCGUAGCCGGUCUGAUACAUUCGUGGGUAAAUCAACCAGCUCAACUGGUUGAAUUCUGCGAGGACGGUCAGACUUGGGACCGGGAGAGGUGUGGGGUACGCUCAGGGUAGGGGUAAAAUCCUGUCAUCCUGAGCGGACCACCUGUUGCGAAGGCGCCACACUAGAACGGAUCCGACGGUCAGGGACGAAGCCUAGGGGCACGAACCGGAUUAGAUACCCGGGUAGUCCUAGGUGUAAACGCUGUGGACUUGAUGUUGGGGGUGCUCCGAGCACUCUCAGUGUCGAAGCGAAGGUGAUAAGUCCACUGCCUGGGAAGUACGGUCGCAAGGCUGAAACUUAAAGGAAUUGGCGGGGGAGCACCGCAACCUGAGGAUUGUGCGGUUUAAUUGGAUUCAACGCCGGA